AUGCCUGUACUUGCUUAGGCACAUAUACUAAAAUUGGAAUGAUACAGAGAUUAGCAUGACCCCUGUGCAAGAAUGACACCCAAAUUCGUGAAGCAUUAAAAAAUAAA
ensembl:snRNA U6 U6 spliceosomal RNA